GAUGAACGCUGGCGGCGUGCCUAAUACAUGCAAGUCGAGCGAACGGGCGAGAAGCUUGCUUCUCUGAUGUUAGCGGCGGACGGGUGAGUAACACGUGGAUAACCUACCUAUAAGACUGGGAUAACUUCGGGAAACCGGAGCUAAUACCGGAUGAUAUUUUGAACCGCAUGGUUCAAAAGUGAAAGACGGUCUUGCUGUCACUUAUAGAUGGAUCCGCGCUGCAUUAGCUAGUUGGUAAGGUAACGGCUUACCAAGGCAACGAUGCAUAGCCGACCUGAGAGGGUGAUCGGCCACACUGGAACUGAGACACGGUCCAGACUCCUACGGGAGGCAGCAGUAGGGAAUCUUCCGCAAUGGGCGAAAGCCUGACGGAGCAACGCCGCGUGAGUGAUGAAGGUCUUCGGAUCGUAAAACUCUGUUAUUAGGGAAGAACAUAUGUGUAAGUAACUGUGCACAUCUUGACGGUACCUAAUCAGAAAGCCACGGCUAACUACGUGC
rnacentral:rRNA from 1 species